ensembl:lncRNA
GCUGUUCUAAGCUACAGGCCCAGGAGCAAAGAAAGGCAAUUUCACACAGCUGGCAGUAAAAAGGAAAGGCUCCCAAAAAGCCUAAAAUAUUAAGACCUUUGAACAAGACAAAGAAUAUCAAUGUGCCCUGAAAACACGGGAAAAUUAUGCAAGGAUUACCAAAAGAAAUAAGUCAUUUAACAUUACAUGUCACAGUUCACCAUUAGACAUUGAACAGAUCUGAUAACUUUGGUAUAAAAAUUGUUUAUCGCUCCUGUAUUGUGAGCACAGCGUGAAAUACAGCACAGGCAGAGCAAGCUUGCGUUUAUUUUCUCUGAAUUAAUCUAAUGAACUUGAGCUUCUUAAAUUUCCUCUUCAUGCUUUUAUGGGUCACUAUCUUUUCCACUAAGUGUUCAGGGCUGUGAGAACGUAGUCACCAAACUGAAUUAUAACUAGCAUGUCUCAUUUUUGAAAAAUCAGUUCUUGCACAUGUCAAAUGAGGCUGCAGAUGCUGUGGGUUGUGUCCCGGCCACGUCUCCGGCAGAUCUGUGUCCACAGUGAGCUUGUGGCUGUGAACGUCAGCUGAAAUGUCAUUUCCAAGAUGCCUGAUUGCCUCUAAGUUCUUGAUUAGUGAGUGAUCUUUGAUUAUCUAGAAAUUUUCAACGAAAUUAAAAAUUUGCGAAGACAAAAAAAGGAAAAUACUAGGAACCCUGUUAUUAUUUAUCCCAGCUUCUCUAUGCAAAAACAGCUUUGCUCUUUUUCAAGUUCCCAUUGGGAUGAUAACUUGCAGAAGAAUUGUCUUGUCAUGCGCUGAUAAGGUUCAGACUGUUUUAAAGCUAAGUUUGGACGCUUAUGCUGUAACAAAGCGCCACAGACCGGGCGGCUGAAACACAGAGACUUGCUCAGUUCUGGAGACCGGAAGUCUGAGAGCAGGGUUGGUUCCCUCUGAGGGAGACUCUGUUCCAGGCCCUUCUCCAGCUUCCGGGGGUUUGCCCAAAGUCCUGGCAUUCCUUGGGUUAUAGAAGCAUCACCCCCAUCUGUGCAUUCAUCUUCACGUGGCUUCUCCCUGUGUGCGUUUCUGCGUCCAAAUUUCCCUCUUCUUACAGGGACACUAGUCAUCGGAUUACGGGCCCAGCCUACUCCAGGAUGACCCCAUCUUAACUAGUUACAUCUGCAAUGACCCCAUCUCCAGAUGAGGUCACAUUUGGAGAUACUGGGCAUUAGAGCUUCAGCAUAUGAAUUUAGGGGGACACGAGCCAGUCCUUUCCACCCACCACUCAGGAGCCAAAUAAGAUGAGUGUUUCCGAGACUGCAAAUCUUCCUUAAAGGAGGAAUCCUCCUGCUUUCACUCGACGGAAAACCCAAGUCCCAGAACCGUGAUGAGAGUGGGGCUCAGUUUGGCAGCUGACCUCAACACCCACCCUAGCUGUCCCCUUUACUUGCUCUGUGUCCUUGGGCAAGUCUCUUGGCCUCUCUGAGCAUCUCUUUCCCUGUCUGUACAAUGGACAAAAGUGUCAACCUCAGGAGUUGUUUUCCAGGCUGAGCAAAAUAACAAAUGAAAACACUCCACACCCAGUAAAUGCUCAAUAAACAGUGUUUCCCUCUUCCUACCUGCCCCUAGUCUGUGUCCCCCACACUAGACUGAACAGCGGAGUGAGUUGGUACAAUAAUAACUGUACCAAUAAAAAUAUCACCUUGCCCUUCCUGAGCACUUGCUCUGCACCACACACACACGGGGGCUCCGCCUCACCAAACGCCAGCAACACAAAGAGGAAAGUGUCCCAGGGGCAGAGCUGGCUGUCAGGGGCCACACCCCAUAAAGUUGGGUGUGCUCCGCACACCCAGGACCUGAAGCAAGGUGCCUGCUCUUGCCUCCGCACUCCGCCGCCUCUCAUAAGGCAGGCAUUCAGCUGCAGCCCAAGCCCCAUGAAGCCAGCAGGAAGGUCAGCGAUGCGUGGCCAGAAGGAGUCCAGAGGUCUGAGUGGUAGGCAAAGACCCUCCAGGAAGCAGAGUCAGGCAAGCCCAUCCGAACAAAUCUGGACCCUCCAACGGAAACGCCUGGAAACCAGGAAGGAGGACUCCCAGGACCCGCUCCCUGGACCCGUCACAGGAGGGAAGGAGCAGGGGCUCUUCAGGGAGCCCAGGACCCUGAGCACCGCCUGGAAAAGCUGAGACAGAGAGGAGCCCGGAACCAAAGCCCGCAGAGGAGCCCUGGGCAUUGGGUGUCCGGGCAAGUGGUGCCCAAUCUGGGAAAGAGGCUCUGCCCCGCCACCGCCUCCAGCUGCCCCUCAAAGCACUGAACACUCCCCACCUCCUCUGGACAUAGAGCUUUCUCUCUGUUGCCAGCAGCAGAAGCCCCAUUUUCCCUGAAAUACUUAUGCUUGGGACACAGGGAUGUCUCUGCUCUCGUUAUCUGAAUAAUUUGGCCAAUUGCCACGCUCCAUUUGCUGACACAGACGAGGCCUGGCUCAGAGAGGCACAGAUCAGACCUCCUGUGGUCGCGCCCUCGGGGUCUGCAGAGCUGGAACUCUCCCAGCCACCAGGGGCUGGGGGUCCCUGGGGCAGCCUGUGUCCCCCAAGGUGGAAAUUAGAAUUUCUACUGAGACUGAGGUCACCACAACUGUCUGGAGACACUUCUAAGCUGCUGAUCAGAGAAUCAGAGUGGGGAUGCAAGCCUCCCACGAUGCCAGCUGACCAGAAAUCUGGGUGUGAGCCCAGAAUAUAGACUCCACAUCACUCCUUCAGUGCCUCUGGUGCCCCCUAGCAAGCCUGAGAAAUGUUUGCUGAAUGAACGAAUGGGCUUUCCCAGACUUUCAGACAGAAGCCUGGCCGUAACCCAGGCAGAAGUGACUCAGAGUCCAGGCUCUGCGUCCUCAGCCCCUAGUCAGCCCCGGCUGACGGCCCAGGAGGCUCUCUGCCCUCAGGGGAACAUCGCCCAAGGACCAGGGGCUCAGGAGGAAGGAUGCUCAGCAACAACAAAAGGCAGCGGCUGAAACAUACAUGAAAGAAAGAGACUCGGAUGAUGUAUUUUAAAGAACCAAACACAGAUCAGCCAAUUCUUCCAACACUCAUUAAACACUUACUCUGGCUGAAGCCUGCAGUCAUCUCCAUGGGGCCAGAACCCAGGUCUCUAGGGAGGGCAGUCACUGCCAGGCUGCCACGUCUGCAGAGAAGACUCCAGGUGUCACAGGUACACCUGAAGGGGGCCAGGCCAGAGGGCCCUCUUCCUCCCCUCCCAAGCGAGGCUCCUGGAGGGGCACGGCUGGCUCUGAGCUUUUCCACAGAGCCACCCAGGACAGUGAGUCCAGGGCCACGAGGAGGCCUCCAGGUGUGGGAGAACCUCUCACACCCAGCUGCCCGUGGACUGGUGCCACAUUCAGCAAAGCUCUGUGUUAAGGGGCUGAGGUUAAGCCCAGGUAAACUGCAGAGUGGACAGGAUUGGGUACAGUCAGGCAAGCUGUACAGAGGACAAGAGCCCUGAGAAGCAGGGGUAGGAGGCCUCCUGGGCAUAUGGGAGCGUGGUGGGGGCAGGCCGAGGCUCAGGGCACCCCUGCAAAGGCCAGGUGCCAAGGAGACCCCAGGGUGCCCUGCAGACCAGAGGGAGCUGGACUGGCCAGGCCCGUGCCUCCAUCACAAGUCCACACGCUUUCAUCAAUAACACAAAAGCUGAAGGAAUUGUGCCUCUGCUCUCCGUAAACCCACACAAGGCAGCCAGAAAAACAAGUGGAUCCGCUUUUGGCUAAAAUUAUUUGCAAUUUGUGUGGGAACAUUAGUUACCUGUCACUUACCAGAAGCCUGAGUGCAGCUGUGACCUUCCAUUUCACCAAGAAAAAGAACAGUGUUGACACCUGCUCACUGCAAUGUUCGGAGAAGUGAGGUCUGCAGUCGGGCACAGCAGGAGGGUGGUGGUGGAAAGGCAGACACGGCCCAGGGGGUGGAACCGCAGGGCAGGCACUGGCUGUCUCUUGGGCGCUAAUCUGAGGGGUGGGAGGACUCUGAGCAGCAAGUGACCGUGCAACAGUCCAAGAUGAGGACUCGGCAGCCAGCAGGACCCACAUCCCUGUCCCUGGAAAAGGCGUCAACCCCACCCCCCAGCACCUGCCUAGACUUCAGCACCGGCUGUGUCCAGAAUGCCGGUUGCUCUCCCUGCCCAGGAAAGAGAGGGGCUGGGACUGGCUGGCGGCCCACCUGCCCAGCGGAGAAACCGCCUGCUUGUCACCCGCAAAAGCGCAGGUCUCGGUGUCUGUUCAGCAGAGUCAGAGCCGAUAACACUGUUUACCUUGUUGUAGAAAUGUGGUUUGCCAAGUCAGCCAGCUGAGGGUCAUGGUGGGAGCUUUGCACACAGCACAUCAGGGAUGACACCCCCACCCCCUUUGUGGAGUCCAGUUGUGCCACCAAGUCAGGCCCCGUUGGAGGUUUGAGUGGAGGGCAGCCCAAAGCCUCAGGGAGAGGCAGCCCACGGGGACCCCGUGCUUGCCCAGCUUCGCCCAGGAGUCUGAGGUUUCUCCCCAUCUAUAGUGCACACUUAGAGGGGCUGCCUUGGGGGGCGAGUGUCUCCUUACACACCCAGACAGUGCGGGACAAAUGCCACUUCUACCGCGUCACCUGAAGCGGCCACAGCGGCCACGCCCCUUCCUUGUCCUCCCCUCCUCAGACCUCCAGAUGAGCUCAGGGGGUGGUGGCAGGUGUUGGGGGAAUGGGCCAGGAAGGGAGGUGGGUGCUGCCAGGAGUGACUGGGGCCUCAGUGUGCAGUGGUGCCUGAUCUGGAGCCCCGGGGACUUCCCGAGGCCCGAGAGAGGGAGGGCAGUCUGAGAACACGGGGGACUUCCCCGGGGAACCAACACAUUUCCUGGCAGUGCAGAAGCUAGGUUCCUCCCGCAAACCCAGAGAGGACAGAGCUGCGACCUCAACCCGUGUGUCCCCAACUGGUUCAGCACACUGGGAACAGUAGCACAGAGACAGAGAGUGAUAACAAGUAGAGACAGGUAGAGACACUACAAGUAGAGACGAUGGGAGACAGCCCAGUGCGUGGGGCCCUGGCAGGAGCAGUGACAAGGGAGAGCUUUCCCUCUCGACCUUUCCAUCAGAUGCUUUGUUUCCACAUCUCUGUCUCUCUCUUCCUUCUGAACUGGCCUCCUGAGGCAUCCUGUGAUGAGGACGCGAGGCCUCCCGUCUGGCUGAGGACAGCGGUUCUAGGUGGGCGCCAUGGGCGUGGUCCGUGCUGCCUUCACCUUCCCUGCGUCUCAGGUUCCCCCAGUCCUUCUGUCUGCUUUGUUCGCUCCGUCUCUGCCUCUCAGAUUAGACCCCGGGCCGUAUGUAAUAUUUGAGGGGAAAACAUUAAAACACUGGCUGGAGACUCUGGCGGGAGGGCAGGGCCUGGCUGUGGAUGUGCCUCACGUGGAGCAGCCGGGUGCAGCCCACAGCCUCACUAGGGGAGCCCCAGGGGUCAGCGUCCGUGUCUCUGGCCUCCUAGCCAACAGCUUCCUCGGGUGGGAUUGUCCAGCCUCCUGCUGGAGGGCGGAACAUCCCAGGAGAGGAGCAGAGAAAGGGCCAGACCUCGCCUUCCCACAUGGGCUCUCAAGCCUCUCCUCCCACCCUCAGCCUCUCCAGAGUCACCUCAGUCUGGGGUGGGGAGGGCAGAGGAAGGCCCUAGAGGUCUCGCUGCUUGCUGUGCAAACAUGGCCAGGCCACAGCCCACGCCACCGGAGCCCUCGCCACCGGAGCCCUCGCCACCGGAGCCCUCGCUCCCUCCAGGGCCCGGGGCCUUGGUGCCAGGGGUCCCAUAGCUUAUCUCCCUCGGCCUGGCCCACCCAGGUACUUAGGCCUCACUUUCCUCCACUUGGAAAACUCCACCCGCUUUCCAUCUCCAAAGUGUUGCUGGUGACUCUCCUUGGCUGCUGUUUCCUCUGUUGCUCUCCGUCCUCUUGCCCCUUCUCUAUUGGCUUAGUGGGGUUUAGGUAAAUGCCUGGGCUACUCCACCACAUUUAACCAAAAGUUGUGUCCACGAGUUUCCAUCCCCGCCCGGGGGUCUCUCUCAACUGGGGAAGAAACAGAAGAAGAACCAUGCUCAGGCCGGGCUCUGCCUGUCUCUGAGCCUGCCAUCACUGACCCAGUCCGCACGUGGCCAGCGUCCCUCCUAUACUGCGCCUUGUGUCCCCAGAGCCGGACGCUUUGUCUGAAAGGGGAGGUGUGGCAUUCAGACACUUCUUUCUGGCACAAUGAGGCCUGAAUUUCCAGACUGUUGCCUCACUGGAGAUUCAAGUCAGUCUUGAAACUCAGAGCCG